AGGAAAGAGAGGACUGAUGCUUUGGCUUUUGGGGACUCAUUAAUUCAGUCCACUGUUUCGAUGGAGACACCAGUGAGCUGCUAGCUUCUAGCACAAAGACUUCUGGGACUGCUUCUGACACUUGGUUGAUUGCUCCAGACACCAAGGCAAAGCAUGGUUCAGGCUGCAGGUGUGAUGAUUGUGCAUAUGGAUCAGUGGGCUACAAUGAGCUUAAUAGUGAUAUUUUGAUAUUUUGUAUAUUUAUAUAUGUUGUGAAGAUUUGUAGAAUUUGAGAGAUGUAUGGAUUUUAGACUUUUGUAUAUGUAUGUACAUUUCUAUCAUGUAGUGUAACAUUAUUUAUGUAUGACCUUACCUUAUG